AUUGAACGCUGGCGGCAUGCCUUACACAUGCAAGUCGAACGGUAACAGGUCUUCGGAUGCUGACGAGUGGCGAACGGGUGAGUAAUACAUCGGAACGUGCCUAGUAGUGGGGGAUAACUACUCGAAAGAGUGGCUAAUACCGCAUGAGAUCUACGGAUGAAAGCAGGGGAUCGCAAGACCUUGUGCUACUAGAGCGGCCGAUGGCAGAUUAGGUAGUUGGUGGGAUAAAAGCCUACCAAGCCGACGAUCUGUAGCUGGUCUGAGAGGACGAUCAGCCACACUGGGACGGAGACACGGCCCAGACUCCUCUGGGAGGCAGCAGUGGGGAAUUUUGGACAAUGGGCGCAAGCCUGAUCCAGCAAUGCCGCGUGCAGGAUGAAGGCCUUCGGGUUGUAAACUGCUUUUGUACGGCACGAAAAGCCCUGGGUUAAUACCCUGGGGUCAUGACGGUACCGUAAGAAUAAGCACCGGCUAACUACGUGCCAGCCGCCGCAGUAAAAC
rnacentral:rRNA from 1 species